rnacentral:lncRNA from 1 species
CUGACUUCUCACUUCAUCCACAGGGAAGAAGAAAAAAGGACAUCUCAUUAAAGUGCCAAGAUACAAUGCCGGCUCCUACGUGCACCUUGUUUUGGACCCUGAAUGUAAAAGAUCACUUUCAGCGUGUUUUAAAAAGCAUUCGUGAUUUCAGCGAUCCUUUCUGAAAUGUGUAAAAAUACCAUCGUCUCCAAUGAUAAAAACAACAACAACAUCUGCCGAUGGCAAAAUAUAGUCAACUUUCAGGGCCAAGUUUUUGGAAGCAGCCAAUGCGUUUGCAUGUGUGAUUUUCUUUUUCACAUAUAAGUUUCUGUGGAUACAAAAAUAUAUGUUUGUAUGUACUGAUCAGGUGUCUGUGUCUUAAAUUUACAUAGCUAUGGUUUCCCUGCACCUAAAUAUUGAGGCUUUUAAAAU